GACGAACGCUGGCGGCGUGCUUAACACAUGCAAGUCGAACGGAAAGGCCCUGCCUUUGUGGGGUGCUCGAGUGGCGAACGGGUGAGUAACACGUGAGUAACCUGCCCUUGACUUUGGGAUAACUUCAGGAAACUGGGGCUAAUACCGGAUAGGAGAUUCUGCUGCAUGGGGGGGGUUGGAAAGUUUCGGCGGUUGGGGAUGGACUCGCGGCUUAUCAGCUUGUUGGUGGGGUAGUGGCUUACCAAGGCUUUGACGGGUAGCCGGCCUGAGAGGGUGACCGGCCACAUUGGGACUGAGAUACGGCCCAGACUCCUACGGGAGGCAGCAGUGGGGAAUAUUGCACAAUGGGCGGAAGCCUGAUGCAGCAACGCCGCGUGCGGGAUGACGGCCUUCGGGUUGUAAACCUCUUUCGGCUGUGACGAAGCGUGAGUGACGGUAAUGGGUGAAGAAGCACCGGCUAACUACGUG
rnacentral:rRNA from 1 species